CGUAAACUGCUUUUAUAUGUGACGAAUAUGACGGUAGCAUAUGAAUAAGGAUCGGCUAACUCCGUGCCAGCAGCCGCGGUCAUACGGAGGAUCCAAGCGUUAUCCGGAAUUACUGGGCGUAAAGAGUUGCGUAGGUGGCAUAGUAAGCGGGUAGUGAAAGCGUGUGGCUCAACCAUACUCACAUUAUCUGAACUGCUAAGCUAGAGGACGAGAGAGGUUAUUGGAAUUCCCAGUGUAGGAGUGAAAUCCGUAGAUAUUGGGAGGAACACCGAUGGCGUAGGCAGAUAACUGGCUCGUUCCUGACACUAAGGCACGAAAGCGUGGGUAGCAAACGGGAUUAGAUACCCCGGUAGUCCACGCCGUAAACGAUGGAUGCUAGCUGUAUUCGGUAUCGACCCCGGAUGUAGCGAAGCUAACGCGUUAAGCAUCCCGCCUGUGGAGUACGGUCGCAAGACUAAAACAUAAAGGAAUUGACGGGGACCCGCACAAGCGGUGGAGCGUGUUGUUUAAUUCGAUGGUAAGCGAAGAACCUUACCCAGGCUUGACAUCCUGCGAAUUUCUCCGAAAGGAGAGAGUGCUUUAUUGAACGCAGUGACAGGUGAUGCAUGGCCGUCGUCAGC
rnacentral:rRNA from 1 species